rnacentral:rRNA from 1 species
ACUGAAUCCUUCGGGAGGACGUUAGUGGAACGAGCGGCGGACGGGUGAGUAACACGUGGGCAACCUGCCUGUAAGACUGGGAUAACUCCGGGAAACCGGGGCUAAUACCGGAUAACACUUUUCUUCUCAUGGAGGAAAGUUGAAAGGUGGCUUCGGCUACCACUUACAGAUGGGCCCGCGGUGCAUUAGCUAGUUGGUGAGGUAACGGCUCACCAAGGCAACGAUGCAUAGCCGACCUGAGAGGGUGAUCGGCCACACUGGGACUGAGACACGGCCCAGACUCCUACGGGAGGCAGCAGUAGGGAAUCUUCCGCAAUGGACGAAAGUCUGACGGAGCAACGCCGCGUGAACGAAGAAGGUUUUCGGAUCGUAAAGUUCUGUUGUUAGGGAAGAACAAGUACCGUUCAAAUAGGGCGGUACCUUGACGGUACCUAUCGAGGAAGCCCCGGCUAACUACGUGCCAGCAGCCGCGGUAAUACGUAGGGGGCAAGCGUUGUCCGGAAUUAUUGGGCGUAAAGCGCGCGUAGGCGGUUUCUUAAGUCUGAUGUGAAAUCUUGCGGCUCAACCGCAAGCGGUCAUUGGAAACUGGGGAACUUGAGUACAGAA